rnacentral:rRNA from 1 species
AUUGAACGCUGGCGGCAGGCCUAACACAUGCAAGUCGAACGAGUGGCGGACGGGUGAGUAAUGUCUGGGAAACUGCCUGAUGGAGGGGGAUAACUACUGGAAACGGUAGCUAAUACCGCAUACCAUCAGAUGUGCCCAGAUGGGAUUAGCUUGUUGGUGGGGUAAAGGCUCACCAAGGCGAAGCGCCCUAGCUGGUCUGAGAGGAUGACCAGCAACACUGGAACUGAGACACGGUCCAGACUCCUACGGGAGGCAGCAGUGGGGAAUAUUGGACAAUGGGCGCAAGCCUGAUGCAGCCAUGCCGCGUGUGUGAAGAAGGUCUUCGGAUUGUAAAGCACUUUAAGUUGGGAGGCGUUACCAACAGAAUAAGCACCGGCUAACUACGUGCCAGCCGCCGCGGUAAUUC